GGACGUAGCUCAGCUGGUAGAGUGCCUGCCUCGCAUGCACAAGGCCCUGGGUUCCCUCCCCAGCACCA
rnacentral:tRNA from 1 species